UCAGCGGGAAUAUCUGACACCAACCCGUUGUGCUAAAGCAGAGGUCAGCAGCAGUCAUGCUCUGGCUACGUUGUCUUUGCGUUGUGGCCUGGUGCAUCUUGUCAGGUUCCGAGGCCGCGAUCACUUUAACCCAGCCAAGUUCUGUCCGUGCAAAGCCAGGAAGUUCCAUCACCCUGGACUGUGUCGUGUCUGGGUAUAACAUCAAUGACCACCAUCUCCACUGGGUCCGUCAGGCUCCUGGGAAACGUCUGGUCUGGGUUACAGGCUUCAGAACAGGUUACGCCACCAUCACCGCUAAUGAAUUCAAAGGACGGGUCACCCCAUCCACCAGCGGGUCCACUGCCAGGCUAAAGAUAGACCGACUGACAGCUGCAGACACGGCCACCUACUACUGUGCACCAGAAACACAGUGCUGGCUUCCCAGCUUCCUCUCCUACAGUAACCUCUAG